AGUCAUACGCUCGUCUCAAAGAUUAAGCCAUGCAUGUGUAAGUAUAAAUAUUUAACUUUGAAACUGCGAAUGGCUCAUUAUAUCAGUUAUAGUUUAUUUGAUGAAAAGUACUACUUGGAUAACCGUAGUAAUUCUAGAGCUAAUACAUGAUAAAAUCCUCGACUUUGAAGAGGUGUAUUUAUUAGAAUGAAACCAAUAGACUUCGGUCUGUUUGUGAGUAAUAAUAACUAAUCGUAUCGCAUGCUUAGGUAGCGAUAUGUCUUUCAAGUUUCUGCCCUAUCAGCUUUGGAUGGUAGUGUAUUGGACUACCAUGGCAGUAACGGGUAACGAAGAAUUUGGGUUCGAUUUCGGAGAGGGAGCCUGAGAGAUGGCUACCACAUCCAAGGAAGGCAGCAGGCGCGUAAAUUACCCAAUCCUGACAUAGGGAGGUAGUGACAAUAAAUCACAAUGCGGAACUAUUAGUUUUGCAAUUGGAUUGAGAACAAUGUACAAAUGUUAUCGAUAAACAAUUGGAGGGCAAGUCUGGUGCCAGCAGCCGCG
rnacentral:rRNA from 1 species